rnacentral:rRNA from 1 species
GACGAACGCUGGCGGCAGGCCUAACACAUGCAAGUCGAGCGAGCGGCGGACGGGUGAGUAAUGUAUGGGGACUGCCCGAUAGAGGGGGAUAACUACUGGAAACGGUGGCUAAUACCGCAUACUAUCGGAUAACCCAUAUGGGAUUAGCUAGUAGGUGGGGUAAAGGCUCACCUAGGCGACGAUCUCUAGCUGGUCUGAGAGGAUGAUCAGCCAAACUUGUACUGAGACACGGCCCAGACUCCUACGGAGGCAGCAGUGGGGAAUAUUGCACAAGGGGGGAAAGCCUGAUGCAGCCAUGGCGCGUGUAUGAAGAAGGCCUUCGGGUUGUAAAGUACUUUCAGCUGGGAGGCGUUACCCGCAGAAGAAGCACCGGCUAACUCCGUGCCAGCAGCCGCGGUAAUAC